UACGUAGGGUGCGAGCGUUAAUCGGAAUUACUGGGCGUAAAGCGUGCGCAGGCGGUGAUGUAAGACCGAUGUGAAGUCCCCGGGCUUAACCUGGGAACUGCAUUGGUGACUGCAUUGCUGGAGUAUGGCAGAGGGGGGUGGAAUUCCACGUGUAGCAGUGAAAUGCGUAGAGAUGUGGAGGAACACCGAUGGCGAAGGCAGCCCCCUGGGCCAAUACUGACGCUCAUGCACGAAAGCGUGGGGAGCAAACAGG
rnacentral:rRNA from 1 species